rnacentral:rRNA from 1 species
AGUGAACGCUGGCGGUAGGCCUAACACAUGCCAGUCGAACGGCAGCACAGUAAGAGCUUGCUCUUACGGGUGGCGAGUGGCGUACGGGUGAGGAAUACAUCGGAAUCUACUUUUUCGUGGGGGAUAACGUAGGGAAACUUACGCUAAUACCGCAUACGACCUACGGGUGCAAGCAGGGGAUCUUCGGACCUUUCGCGAUUGAAUGAGCCGAUGUCGGAUUAGCUAGUUGGCGGGGUAAAGGCCCACCAAGGCGACGAUCCGUAGCUGGUCUGAGAGGAUGAUCAGCCACACUGGAACUGAGACACGGUCCAGACUCCUACGGGAGGCAGCAGCGGGGAAUAUUGGACAAUGGGCGCGAGCCUGAUCCAGCCAUACCGCGUGGGUGAAGAAGGCCUUCGGGUUGUAAAGCCCUUUUGUUGGGAAAGAAAAGCAGCAGGUUAAUACCCCGCUGUUCUGACGGUACCCAAAGAAUAAGCACCGGCUAACUUCGUG